rnacentral:rRNA from 1 species
GGCGAACAUUGGCGGUAGGCUUAACACAUGCAAGUCGAGCGAGGCGUAAUCGUCGUGCGGCGAACGGGUGCGUAAUACAUGGGAAUCUACCUCGAAGUGGGGGAUAACGUUCAGAAAUGGACGCUAAUACCGCAUAAUCCAUAUUGGGAAAGCGUUGCAGCGCUUUGAGAUGAGCCCAUGGCUGAUUAGCUAGUUGGUGAGGUAAUGGCUCACCAAGGCGACGAUCAGUAGCUGGUCUGAGAGGAUGACCAGCCACACUGGAACUGAGACACGGUCCAGACUCCUACGGGAGGCAGCAGUGGGGAAUCUUGCGCAAUGGGGGCAACCCUGACGCAGCCAUACCGCGUGAGUGAUGAAGGUCUUCGGAUUGUAAAGCUCUUUCGGCGGGGACGACGAUGACGGUACCCGCAAAAGAAGUCACGGCUAACUUCGUGCCAGCAGCCGCAGUAA